CCGUCCAGACUCCUACGGGAGGCAGCAGUGGGGAAUAUUGCACAAUGGGCGAAAGCCUGAUGCAGCUAUACCGCGUGUAUGAAGAAGGCCUUAGGGUUGUAAAGUACUUUCGUUGGGGAGGAAAAAUAAAUAGAUAAUACCUGUUUAUCGUGACGUUACCCAAAAAAGAAGCACCGGCUAACUCCGUGCCAGCAGCCGCGGUAAUACGGAGGGUGCGAGCGUUAAUCAGAAUUACUGGGCGUAAAGAGCUCGUAGGCGGUUGUUUAAGUCAGAUGUGAAAUCCCUGGGCUUAACCUAGGAACUGCAUUUGAAACUAAAAGACUAGAGUAUCGUAGAGGGAGGUAGAAUUCUAGGUGUAGCGGUGAAAUGCGUAGAUAUCUGGAGGAAUACCUGUGGCGAAAGCGGCCUCCUAAACGAAUACUGACGCUGAGGUGCGAAAGCAUGGGGAGCAAACAGGAUUAGAUACCCUGGUAGUCCAUGCCGUAAACGAUGUCGACUUGGAGGUUGUUUCCUUGAGAAGUGACUUCCGAAGCUAACGCGUUAAGUCGACCGCCUGGGGAGUACGGUCGCAAGGCUAAAACUCAAAUGAAUUGACGGGGGCCCGCACAAGCGGUGGAGCAUGUGGUUUAAUUCGAUGCAACGCGAAAAACCUUACCUGGUCUUGACAUCCACAGAAUUUUUCAGAGAUGAAAAAGUGCCUUAGGGAACUGUGAGACAGGUGCUGCAUGGCUGUCGUCAGCUCGUGUUGUGAAAUGUUGGGUUAAGUCCCGCAACGAGCGCAACCCUUAUCCUCUGUUGCCAUUGGUUCGGCCAGGAACUCAGAGGAGACUGCCGGUUAUAAACCGGAGGAAGGCGGGGACGACGUCAAGUCAUCAUGGCCCUUACGACCAGGGCUACACACGUGCUACAAUGGUGUAUACAAAGAGAAGCAACUCUGCAAAGACAAGCAAACCUCAUAAAGUACAUCGUAGUCCGGACUGGAGUCUGCAACUCGACUCCACGA
rnacentral:rRNA from 2 species